UCCCCGUUAUCCUGGGCACGUGUUUCCACGCGUUACACCGACGUGUCAAGCCCAGGUAAGGUUCUUCGCGUUGCGUCGAAUUAAACCACAUGCUCCGCUGCUUGUGCGGGCCCCCGUCAAUUCCUUUGAGUUUUAGCCUUGCGGCCGUACUCCCCAGGCGGCACACUUAAUGCGUUAGCUGCGGCGCCGAGGGGGUCGAUACCCCCGACACCUAGUGUGCAUCGUUUACGGCGUGGACUAC
rnacentral:misc_RNA from 1 species